UACGGAGGGUGCAAGCGUUGUCCGGAUUUAUUGGGUUUAAAGGGUGCGUAGGCGGCCCGUUAAGUCAGCGGUGAAAUCCCGGGGCUCAACCCCGGAACUGCCCUGGAUACUGGCGGGCUUGAGUCCAGACGAGGUUGGCGGAAUGGAUGCUGUAGCGGUGAAAUGCAUAGAUAGCAUCCAGAACCCCGAUUGCGUAGGCAGCUGACUAGGCUGGUACUGACACUGAGGCACGAAAGCGUGGGGAGCGAACAGG
rnacentral:rRNA from 1 species